GACGAACGCUGGCGGCGUGCUUAACACAUGCCAGUCGAACGGAAAGGCCCUGCUUUUGUGGGGUGCUCGAGUGGCGAAAGGGUGAGUAAGAGGUGAGUAACCUGCCCUUGACUUUGGGAUAACUUCAGGAAACUGGGGCUAAUACAGGAUAGGAGCUCCUGCUGCAUGGUGGGGGGUGGAAAGUUUCGGCGGUUGGGGAUGGACUCGCGGGUUAUCAGCUUGUUGGUGGGGGGGUGGCUUACCAAGGCAUUGACGGGUAGCCGGCCUGAGAGGGUGACCGGCCACAUUGGGACUGAGGUACGGCCCAGACUCCUACUGGAGGCAGCAGUGGGGAAGAUUGCACAAUGGGCGGAAGCCUGAUGCAGCAACGCCGCGUGCGGGAUGACGGCCUUCGGGUUGUAAACCGCUUUCGCCUGUGACGAAGCGUGAGUGACGGUAAUGGGUAAAGAAGCACCGGCUAACUACGUG
rnacentral:rRNA from 1 species